AUGAACGCUGGCGGCGUGCCUAAUACCUGCAAGUCGAGCGAACAGAUGAGGAGCUUGCUCCUCUGACGUUAGCGGCGGACGGGUGAGUAACACGUGGAUAACCUACCUAUAAGACUGGGAUAACUUCGGGAAACCGGAGCUAAUACCGGAUAAUAUAUUGAACCGCAUGGUUCAAUAGUGAAAGACGGUUUUGCUGUCACUUAUAGAUGGAUCCGCGCCGCAUUAGCUAGUUGGUAAGGUAACGGCUACCAAGGCAACGAUGCGUAGCCGACCUGAGAGGGUGAUCGGCCACACUGGAACUGAGACACGGUCCAGACUCCUACGGGAGGCAGCAGUAGGGAAUCUUCCGCAAUGGGCGAAAGCCUGACGGAGCAACGCCGCGUGAGUGAUGAAGGUCUUCGGAUCGUAAAACUCUGUUAUUAGGGAAGAACAAAUGUGUAAGUAACUAUGCACGUCUUGACGGUACCUAAUCAGAAAGCCACGGCUAACUACGUG
rnacentral:rRNA from 1 species